CGUGGCUGAUUUCUAAGCAUCACUCCUUGUGAAGACCAGGAAGGAAUGUUUUUGCACUCUCACCCUGACUAAAGUGGUCCUCAAGUCAGUCUAGGGUCUGAAGCAUUGAGGACACUCGGGAGGAGUCGUCAGAGGGUCUCAGAGGAAUCUAGCUCAGAAGGAGAGGUUGAGGCAAUCAAGAUGGUUCAUCUCUAUAAAGAGAAGGCUGAGGGGAUACCAAAUGUCUUUCUUUAAAUACCUGAAAUUGUUCUUGAGAGCGACUGGUGAAUAUGCCACUUAAAACCUUGGAUCAAGGACUUUUCUCAGGCACGAGGAAGCACUCCCUCCUCCGGACGGAUGCAAGCACUGGCAUGGAGCCCGCAGGGGACCUGGCUGCCUCUAAGACGUGGUGAGUACGGGGACAGGCCCCAGCUCUGCUGGCUGACCAGGCACAGCCCUACCAUGGAGUGGGUGGACGAGAUGGCCUCCCAUCGGGGCCUGGGAAUCACCUCCUCUGCUGGCCCAGCAGGUUCUCUCCCAUGCUGCUGCUGUGGGACAUGGAUGAAUCUGGAGAACGUCAUCCUCAGCAAACUGACACAAGAACAGAAAAUGAAACACCGCAUAUUCUCACUCAUAGGUGGGUGAUGAAAAAUGAGAACACAUGGACACAGAAAGGGGAGUACUAAACACUGGGGUCUAUUGGGGGGAAAAGGGGAGGGCCAGUGGGAGGGGGAGGUAGGGAGGGAUAGCCUGGGGAGAAAUGCCAAAUGUGGGUGAAGGGGAGAAGAAAAGCAAAGCACACUGCCAUGUGUGUACCUACGCAACUGUCUUGCAUGCUCUGCUCAUGUACCCCAAAACCUAAAAUCCAAUAAAAAAAUUAAAAAAAAAAAAACAAAAAAACAGGGACUCCUUUCCUCAUUGCUUGUUUUUGUCAGAUUUGUCAAAGAUCAGAUGGUUGUAGAUGUGUGACAUUUCCUCCAAGGCUGAACUUGAAAAGAUUCUGUUCCAUUGGUCGAUAUCUCUGUUUUGGUACCAGUAUCAUGCUGUUUUGAUUGCUGUAGCCUUGCAGUAUAGUUUGAAGUCAGGUAGCAUGAUGCC
rnacentral:lncRNA from 1 species